rnacentral:rRNA from 1 species
CAUAAGCGGAGGAAAAAGAAACCAACAGGGAUUGCCCCAGUAACGGCGAGUGAAGCGGGCAACAGCUCAAAUUUGAAAUCUGGCCCCCAGGGCCCGAGUUGUAAUUUGCAGAGGAUGCUUUUGGCGCGGUGCCUUCCGAGUUCCCUGGAACGGGACGCCAUAGAGGGUGAGAGCCCCGUCUGGUCGGACGCCUAGCCUGUGUAAAGCUCCUUCGACGAGUCGAGUAGUUUGGGAAUGCUGCUCUAAAUGGGAGGUAUAUGUCUUCUAAAGCUAAAUACCGGCCAGAGACCGAUAGCGCACAAGUAGAGUGAUCGAAAGAUGAAAAGCACUUUGAAAAGAGGGUUAAAUAGUACGUGAAAUUGUUGAAAGGGAAGCGCUUGUGACCAGACUUGGGCCCGGUGGAUCAUCCAGCGUUCUCGCUGGUGCACUCCGCCGGGUUCAGGCCAGCAUCAGUUCGCCGCGGGGGAAAAAGGCUUCGGGAACGUGGCUCCUACGGGAGUGUUAUAGCCCGUUGCAUAAUACCCUGGGGCGGACUGAGGUUCGCGCUCCGCAAGGAUGCUGGCGUAAUGGUCAUCAGCGACCCGUCU